rnacentral:rRNA from 1 species
AAGGGACAUCAGUACAGGUGGUGCAUGGCUGUCGUCAGCUCGUGUCGUGAGAUGUUGGGUUAAGUCCCGCAACGAGCGCAACCCUUAUUCUUAGUUGUUUCCCUUUGGGAUUACCCUCUAAGAAGACUGCCUCGGAUAACGGGGAGGAAGGUGGGGAUGACGUCAAGUCCGCAUGCUCCUUACGUCUAGGGCCACACACGUCCUACAAUGGGGUCGACAAUGGGAUGCAAUAUCGCAAGAUGGAGCCAAUCCCCAAACGGCCUCUCAGUUCGGAUUGUAGUCUGCAACUCGACUACAUGAAGUUGGAAUCGCUAGUAAUGGCAGAUCAGCAUGCUGCCGUGAAUACGUUCCCGGGUCUU